rnacentral:rRNA from 1 species
UACGAAGGGGGCUAGCGUUGCUCGGAUUGACUGGGCGUAAAGGGCGUGUAGGCGGUUAGUUAAGUCUGGCGUGAAAGCUCUCGGCUAAACCGGGAGAGGUCGUCGGAUACUGGCAAACUAGAGGAUGGUAGAGGCGUGUGGAAUUCCGGGUGUAGUGGUGAAAUGCGUAGAGAUCCGGAGGAACACCAGUGGCGAAGGCGACACGCUGGGCCAUACCUGACGCUAAAGCGCGACAGCAUGGGGAGCGAACGGG